rnacentral:rRNA from 1 species
UACGUAGGGUCCGAGCGUUGUCCGGAAUUAUUGGGCGUAAAGCGCACGUAGGCGGCUUUGCAAGUCGGAUGUGAAAUCCCUCGGCUCAACCAAGGAAGUGCAUCCGAAACUGCAGAGCUUGAGUACCAAAGAGGAUCGCGGAAUUCCCGGUGUAGAGGUGAAAUUCGUAGAUAUCGGGAGGAACACCAGUGGCGAAGGCGGCGAUCUGGGUGGAUACUGACGCUGAGGUGCGAAAGCGUGGGGAGCAAACAGG